CCCUUAGAUGUUCGGAGCUGCACGCGCGCUACACUGAUACGUUCAACGAGUUUAUAACCUUGAUUGAUAGGUCUGGGUAAUCUUUUGAAUGCGUAUCGUGCUAGGGAUAGAUUAUUGCAAUUAUUAAUCUUGAACGAGGAAUUCCUAGUAAACGCAAGUCAUCAGCUUGCAUUGAUUACGUCCCUGCCCUUUGUACACACCGCCCGUCGCACCUACCGAUUGAAUGACUCGGUGAAAAAUCGGGACUGUGGUCUAGCUUGCUUAAUUGCAAACUUGACUGUGGGAACUUUCUUUAACCUAUUCAUUUAGAGGAAGGUGAAGUCGUAACA
rnacentral:rRNA from 1 species